rnacentral:lncRNA from 1 species
AAAAAUGUUAAACAUAGCAAACGAUGGUCGAUUCAGGCAUGCAAUAUAUCAUUUUAAAGCUUGAUAUGUCUAUUACAAAUCUCUAGAAGACAUUAAGUCCUAAUAACAUCAUUUACCAGCUCGUUCCAAGGACCGAAGCAUAUCAGUCAAAACAGGCAUACGAAUUUCCACAUCAGAACAGAACACAACAAUUUUCCAGAAUUACUUCCUAACUUUUAAAGAAAAUUUCAUGUGGCUAAUGAUAUCGGAUCAGGGUGUAUUAUAGUUCGUUGGAAAGAUAGUCGAACCAUCUUCAGCUCUCAUGAAGGCAUCAAACACAGAGAACCACAGCAACCAGCUCGUAUCAGGUCAUUUACACAAAAGGUCAUCUGAAA